UGUCCAUAUUUGAUGCACGAGGAUUGGACUGAAAUGUUAAAUCACGCUUUACCAAAGUCAGUAAGAUAGGAUCGGAGGCACUUACCACAUCACAACUCUGAAAUGUAACCUAGUUGAAGAUGUCACGGCUCAUUGUAGUUAUGUGUUUAUAUAAUAAAAUGUGUUUUAAUUAGGGAAGAGCACUCCUGAGGACUUGGUCGGCAGCAAGGAGCCCAAGCAGGACCUCAGUAAUUCCAGCCUUUCAUCUCUUACAUACGGAAUAAUCAAACCUGACACCAGUAAUGCAGAUGUGGGCAGAGCUACAAAUGGAGAGAUUGGUACCCACACUUCACAAACCUCUGCUGGUACACCGAGCCUUCUAGUGGAGGAACUGAUACAGGUGUUCGACUCGGUCCGAGACAAAGUCCUGAACGAUCCUCACACCUUCACCCUCCCGGUGCAGAGGUUCAUUUCUCAUUAUGAAAACAUAAAAUCAGACUCCGCUCUCGCCUCAGCGCUGUCUGUGUUCGGGAAAAGAACCUGCAGAUGGACGUCGCUCCGAAAGCCAGCAGCUGGGGGAAACGGGACACUGUCUACGGGUCGUCUUCUGAAGAGGAUCAGACCAGAGCACGACUAUCCGAGCUGGACGAAGAAGAGAAUCAGGUCACAGAGUUUAGAGCUGUGUAUGGAUCAGAGUAUGACACAAAAUAGAGAAGAAAAUAAAGCUUAAAAUCCUGCCAGAUUGUUUGUAUUUUUGUUUUAUGGAUUAAAAGAGAAUAAAUCUCGUGUUUGUUCCGACUAUAAUCACAUUUCAGACAACAUGGUGGUGAUAUUUAUUUAACAUUUAUGUAAGGUCUCCAGUGUCAGUGCUUUUGGUCUUCAAGACAGAGAAUGAGUUUUUGUUGAUA